GAUACGUGCUUUCAAAUGUUAUGAAGAAGAAAAUAUAUCUACUGGAUAUUGAAAAUUAAUUUUAUAAUAAUGGGGCCUUCUAUACUGGAGACGUAUCCUGCUUUAACAGAAGAAUUUAUUUACAUAAAUGUACAUACAUAACUGCGUAGCGUACGAAUAUUCGUUAAAAGUAAUUGACUGAAUGAUAACUUUGUACCGUAAUUAUGCAUGGCUGCAGGUGUCUGCAACGCAGCUCUAACGACCAGCGCGAGGACGGUGCCAUUGGAGCGACCUGCAAAAAUUCAGGGGAAAUUCAAGACGUAGAAUACUCUAUACGACUGGGAUAUGUCACUGACACACUGCUUUCUGACGGGAUUUGCUAUAACCUCUUCAUACAAUAAGUACCCCGUACUUGCAGUUUGCCAUACCAGUGGCGACACUUAACGACACUUUUUACAACUUUUAUUGUUAUUCACCAAAUACACACGUGUCACAACAGGUGUUUUUCCCGUCGAAGGUGCUGACACGUAAACCCGAAAAUGGUCCUGCCCACUUCGUCGUACCAGUCUUUCACCUGCAACCAUGAGAAACGGAGCCAGGAGCUUAACAGUGGUUUUGGCACUGUGCACCGGCUGCUUUAUAAGCAGCCUAAUAAUAUAUUAUGACACCUCCUCUCUUGCUCUCCGGGCAAGUUUCCUCAGUGGGCUGCUGCUUAACCUUGGUCAAAAAGACAACACCUCAUCAAUCAAAACGAACUCAGAUGAGAGAAAUAACAAAACCUCUAUCUUAUGCUGGGUCAUGACAACCCCCCAACACACAACUUAAACGCCAUAGCUGUCAAGGAUACUUGGGGUAAGCGGUGCGACAAACUCAUCUUCUUCGGUGACAAGUUAGGUAAGUCAAGUCUUGUACUUCCGUUGCUGUUAACAGGUGUUGGUCUUAUGCCAAAGUGAGCCCUCGCUCUUGCAACAAGCAGACCCAUAAACAAACUGAUGCCCUCUCCUGGAUAAGGAAUGGUAAAAGCAAGUUAUGGAAUGGUAAAACCAAAAAAUGCUCCUCAGUGGCGUGAUCAGUAUGGUCUUGGCCUGCCACCUCAGUGGCCGCGAGUUCAAUUCUCGGGCAUUCCACUGAGGGGUUAGAGAUUGUAUUUCUGGUGAUGAAGUUCACUCUCGACGUGGUUCGGAAGUGGAAGUCACCUAAAGCCGUUGGUCCCGUCGCUGAAUAACCACUGGUUCCAUGCAACGUAAAAACACCAUGUCAACAAACAAAAACAAGAAGUGGAAUGAUAAGAACAAGGAAUGGAAGGUUAUAAAAAAGGAAACGAGAGAGAGGGGGAGAGAUAUCAUCAGAAGACCACUUUUGUUCUAUUGUUUUAAAAUUUUCACUUGAAUCUCACGCAAUUCCUGUUAGUGUGGUUACACUAGGUGACUAACCCAGUCUGUCUCGUCCCAGUCAAACCUUUAAAAGCUUUUGUUGAGUAGGAAUUGCCGGCAAUUCUUCAUUAAAAUUCUUAGAAAAAAUGUUAUGUUUCAUACUACGCCUUAUUUAAAUCUUAUAUUUACUUUGACAAAUCGCAUAUCUAUAAACGUUUAAAUAUCACUUGAAAUAUUGAUUUCGACAACAUUGAUCAUCGAGGUUACAACGCCAAAGUUUUUCAUGUCAACGUUAGGAUUCUUCAUAACUUGUUGAUUAAAAUACCCUCUGAAUUAUAGACGCUUGGUGCAGCCCAUAUUAAUGGAGAUGCUGAUGCAUUAGCAACUAAAGAUAAUACAAGUUUUAGUUCAAAAGUAUCCUAUUCU